rnacentral:rRNA from 1 species
UAGGGAAUCUUCCGCAAUGGACGCAAGUCUGACGGAGCAACGCCGCGUGAGCGAAGAAGGUCUUCGGAUCGUAAAGCUCUGUUGUAAGGGAAGAACAAGUACCAGAGUAACUGCUGGUACCUUGACGGUACCUUACCAGAAAGCCACGGCUAACUACGUGCCAGCAGCCGCGGUAAUACGUAGGUGGCAAGCGUUGUCCGGAAUUAUUGGGCGUAAAGCGCGCGCAGGCGGUCUCUUAAGUCUGAUGUGAAAGCCCCCGGCUCAACCGGGGAGGGUCAUUGGAAACUGGGAAACUUGAGUGCAGAAGAGGAAAGUGGAAUUCCAAGUGUAGCGGUGAAAUGCGUAGAGAUUUGGAGGAACACCAGUGGCGAAGGCGACUUUCUGGUCUGUAACUGACGCUGAGGCGCGAAAGCGUGGGGAGCAAACA